CAGGGAGACAACAAAAUGUUUAAUAUUAUUAUUUUGUCACCUUAGGUCGAUCGGUAUCUCACGUUCUUAAUACGUUAAGAAUUUCAUUUCCUAAGUUUUUCUAGGUCACACCCAUUAUUUUUCCUGGGCCAUUAGCUCAGGUGGUUAGAGCGCACCCCUGAUAAGGGUGAGGUCCCUGGUUCAAGUCCAGGAUGGCCCAUAUCUCUAUGUUGGGGGUAUAGCUCAGUUGGUAGAGCGCCUGCUUUGCAAGCAGGAUGUCAGCGGUUCGAGUCCGCUUACCUCCACUGAUUACCACCUCUUCCAUAACCGAUAGAAAGGAAAUGUUUUGAGUUGUGAUCAUUAUUCUGAACGAAUCUAGCUUCCUAAUGAAAUCAUUAAGACGCUGGACUCAUUGAAUUAAUUUCAUUGUUUUCAGAGAACCUUGACAACUGCAUAGAUUAUUUUUAAAGACAAUAAGCAUCUUUAAUGAUGCAGAUUUAUUAUUUGUGCGAAUGCAUUAAUAACAAUUCUAUUAAGCUGAUGCUUCAAUUUUUGAAGUUAUU
rnacentral:tRNA from 1 species